rnacentral:rRNA from 1 species
UACGAAGGGUGCAAGCGUUACUCGGAAUUACUGGGCGUAAAGCGUGCGUCGGUGGUUUGUUAAGUCUGUUGUGAAAGCCCCGGGCUCAACCUGGGAAUGGCAAUGGAUACUGGCAGGCUAGAGUGCGGUAGAGGGUAGUGGAAUUCCCGGUGUAGCGGUGAAAUGCGUAGAGAUCGGGAGGAACACCAGUGGCGAAGGCGGCUACCUGGACCAGCACUGACACUGAGGCACGAAAGCGUGGGGAGCAAACAGG